UACGUAGGGGGCUAGCGUUGUCCGGAAUCAUUGGGCGUAAAGAGCGUGUAGGCGGCCCGGUAAGUCCGCUGUGAAAGUCGGGGGCUCAACCCUCGAAUGCCGGUGGAUACUGUGGGGCUAGAGUGCGGAAGAGGCGAGUGGAAUACCUGGUGUAGCGGUGAAAUGCGCAGAUAUCGGGAGGAACGCCUAUGGCGAAGACAGCUCGCUGGGACGUUACUGACGCUGAGACGCGAAAGCGUGGGGAGCAAACAGG
rnacentral:rRNA from 1 species